rnacentral:rRNA from 1 species
UACGUAGGGGGCAAGCGUUGUCCGGAAUUAUUGGGCGUAAAGAGCGCGUAGGCGGUCCGGUAAGUCAGCUGUGAAAGUCAAGGGCUCAACCCUUGAAAGCCGGUUGAUACUGUCGGGCUAGAGUCCGGAAGAGGCGAGUGGAAUUCCCGGUGUAGCGGUGAAAUGCGCAGAUAUCGGGAGGAACACCAAUGGCGAAGGCAGCUCGCUGGGACGGUACUGACGCUGAGGCGCGAAAGCGUGGGGAGCAAACGGG